rnacentral:rRNA from 1 species
AUACGUAGGGGGCGAGCGUUGUCCGGAAUGAUUGGGCGUAAAGGGCGCGCAGGCGGCCCGGUAAGUCUGGAGUGAAAGUCCUGUUUUUAAGCUGGGAAUUGCUUUGGAUACUGUCGGGCUUGAGUGCAGGAGAGGUAAGUGGAAUUCCAAGUGUAGCGGUGAAAUGCGUAGAGAUUGGGAGGAACACCAGUGGCGAAGGCGACUGACUGGACUGUAACUGACGCUGAGGCGCGAAAGUGUGGGGAGCAAACAGGAUUAGAUACCCUGGUAGUCCACGCUGUAAACGAUGAAUGCUAGGUGUAGGGGGUAUCGACCCCUUCUGUGCCGCAGUCAACACAAUAAGCAUUCCGCCUGGGGAGUACGGCCGCAAGGUUGAAACUCAAAGGAAUUGACGGGG